UGGUUCCGUAUCCCAAUUGGCAGAGGAUUCCGGCUUAGACCCGGUUUAGUGUGCGUUCGAGUCGCGCGGGGUCUAC
rnacentral:tRNA from 1 species